GUGCCAGCCGCCGCGGUAAGACGAACCACACAAACGUUAUUCGGAAUUACUGGGCUUAAAGGGUGCGUAGGCUGUGCAGAAAGUUAGGUGUGAAAUCCCCCGGCUCAACCGGGGAAUUGCGCUUAAAACUACUGUGCUAGAGGAAGACAGAGGUGAGCGGAACUUCGGGUGGAGCGGUGAAAUGCGUUGAUAUCCGAAGGAACACCGGUGGCGAAAGCGGCUCACUGGGUCUUUUCUGACGCUGAUGCACGAAAGCUAGGGGAGCAAACGGGAUUAGAUACCCCCGUAGUCC
rnacentral:rRNA from 1 species